CAGCAGUCGCCGCGGUAAUACAGAGGGUGCGAGCGUUAAUCGGAUUUACUGGGCGUAAAGCGUGCGUAGGCGGCUUUUUAAGUCGGAUGUGAAAUCCCUGAGCUUAACUUAGGAAUUGCAUUCGAUACUGGGAAGCUAGAGUAUGGGAGAGGAUGGUAGAAUUCCAGGUGUAGCGGUGAAAUGCGUAGAGAUCUGGAGGAAUACCGAUGGCGAAGGCAGCCAUCUGGCCUAAUACUGACGCUGAGGUACGAAAGCAUGGGGAGCAAACAGGAUUAGAUACCCGAGUAGUCCCUGUCUAUUAUAA
rnacentral:rRNA from 1 species